rnacentral:rRNA from 1 species
CAAGUCGAGCGAGAAAGUGUAGCAAUACAUGAGUACAGCGGCGCACGGGUGAGUAACACGUGGGUAAUCUGCCCUAGAGUGGGGAAUAACACCGGGAAACCGGUGCUAAUACCGCAUACGAUCACGAUGUUUGCGGACGUUGUGAUGAAAGGAGCAAUUCGCUCUUGGAGGAGCCCGCGGCUGAUUAGCUAGUUGGUAAGGUAAUGGCUUACCAAGGCUACGAUCAGUAUCCGGUCUGAGAGGACGGUCGGACACACUGGAACUGAGACACGGUCCAGACUCCUACGGGAGGCAGCAGUGGGGAAUUUUUCGCAAUGGGGGCAACCCUGACGAAGCAACGCCGCGUGGGUGAUGAAGUAUCUCGGUACGUAAAACCCUUUCGACGGGGAAGAAAACCGCAAGGUUUGACGGUACCCGUAGAAGAAGCCCCGGCUAACUCCGUGCCAGCAGCCGCGGUAAUACGGGGGGGGCAAGCGUUGUUCGGAAUUACUGGGCGUAAAGGGCGCGUAGGCGGUUUGCUAAGUUGAAUGUGAAAACUCUGGGCUUAACCCAGAGCCUGCAUUCAAUACUGGCAGGCUAGAGUUCUGGAGGGGAUAGCGGAAUUCCUGGUGUAGCGGUGAAAUGCGUAGAUAUCAGGAGGAACACCGGUGGCGAAGGCGGCUAUCUGGACAGAGUCUGACGCUGAGGCGCGAAAGCUAGGGGAGCAAACAGGAUUAGAUACCCUGGUAGUCCUAGCCCUAAACGAUGGAUACUUGCUGUGACUGGGAUUGAAUCCAGCCGUGGCGAAGCUAACGCAUUAAGUAUCCCGCCUGGGGAGUACGGUCGCAAGGCUGAAACUCAA